rnacentral:rRNA from 1 species
CGCGUAUGCAACCUGCCCUCAUCAGGGGGAUAGCCCGGAGAAAUCCGGAUUAAGACCGCAUGAAACCACAGUAUAGCAUUAUACAAUGGUCAAAUAUUCAUAGGAUGGGGAUGGGCAUGCGUGUCAUUAGCUAGUUGGCGGGGUAACGGCCCACCAAGGCGACGAUGACUAGGGGAUCUGAGAGGAUGGCCCCCCACACUGGUACUGAGACACGGACCAG